rnacentral:rRNA from 1 species
GUGGGGAAUUUUGGACAAUGGGCGCAAGCCUGAUCCAGCCAUGCCGCGUGAGUGAUGAAGGCCUUAGGGUUGUAAAGCUCUUUCAGUGGGGACGAUAAUGACGGUACCCACAGAAGAAGCCCCGGCUAACUUCGUGCCAGCAGCCGCGGUAAUACGAAGGGGGCUAGCGUUGUUCGGAUUUACUGGGCGUAAAGCGCACGUAGGCGGAUCGUUAAGUCGGGGGUGAAAUCCUGGAGCUCAACUCCAGAACUGCCUUCGAUACUGGCGAUCUUGAGUCCGGAAGAGGUGAGUGGAACUCCUAGUGUAGAGGUGGAAUUCGUAGAUAUUAGGAAGAACACCAGUGGCGAAGGCGACUCACUGGUCCGGUACUGACGCUGAGGUGCGAAAGCGUGGGGAGCAAACAGGAUUAGAAACCCUAGUAGUCC